CGGAGGGGGCGAGCGUUAUUCGGAAUUAUUGGGCGUAAAGGGCGCGUAGGCGGCUUGAUAAGUCAAAGGUGAAAUCCCUCGGCUCAACUGAGGAACUGCCUUUGAAACUGUCGAGCUUGAGGCCGGGAGGGGUAGCGGAAUUCCCAGUGUAGCGGUGAAAUGCGUAGAUACUGGGAGGAACACCGGUGGCGAAGGCGGCUACCUGGACCGGUUCUGACGCUGAGGCGCGAAAGCGUGGGUAGCAAACAGGAUUAGAUACCCUGGUAGUCCACGCUGUAAACGAUGGGUGCUCGGUGUCGCGGGUAUCGACCCCUGCGGUGCCUUAGCUAACGCGUUAAGCACCCCGCCUGGGGAGUACGGACGCAAGGCUG
rnacentral:rRNA from 1 species